UUCAGUUUAGGAUUACAAAUGCAAUACGGUCUUUCUCUAAUGCAAUACGGUCUUUCUCUAAUACAAUACUCUUGACCACAUUGUUUGGUUUGAUAGUUUAUUCAUGUCUAUUAUCCAAUGUGAUUCGUGUGCUUAUAUGAUUACCUUGAAUGUGAUUUGGAACGACUUCCUAAAUCUCAUUUAUACUCUGGCCAGAGAUUCUUAAUCAUAUCAUAGAGUAUUCUCCCUCAAACAUUUUGAAGGUUAGAGAUCCCUUGUUGCGCAUUCACUUGCCUCCAUAGCUAAGUGGCUUAACCCUAACUAUGCCGUGGACACCCUCCUUUUGGAGUGACUUUUGACAUAAUCAAAGAUCAAGGACUUAACCACAAGACAACUAUGAUCCCUCAGGUCAAAGGACUACUUUGCAUUAUCCCAACCAUGAGUUAUCAUGUGACAUGAAUAUGAGAACUCUUCGUUGAUCGUGUUCAGUGAACUCAUUCUCUAUUGAGCACCUACGUAC
rnacentral:lncRNA from 1 species